AACACUAAAGAAAAUUGGAAAAGAGACAACAGCCCACAAAGCUGCUUAAAUUGGAAAGCAAAUGGGAAAAUGAUGACGAAAUUAGCAGAUGGGAGAAAGCUUAGUCCUAAAAGGGAAGUGAGGAAAGCUGAUAAGCAACUUCAUCUAAGCUGUGGAAAGACCCAAAGACCAGGAACUGGUGGCACCAGGCGCCUUUGGACAUGGGGACGUGAGAGUAAAACACAGACGCUGGUUGAAAAUCUGUUGAAAAUGCAGUGGAACUUCAGGAAUUUCUUCCCCUGCCCCAGGUUGCUGGCAGAGGUGGUUGGGGCUAUGUGCCUGGAGUGAAGAUUCUGCCCAUUGGUCAAGAGACCUCCCUCUCAGAUGCUGGCUCUGCCCCUGCCUUUGGGGGUCGACCCUUGUACUCGCAGGACCUUAGGUGACUCUAUUCUACUUCUCUGAUCAGGAAGCCAUUCUGCCUGAGGACGAGUCAUACUCUGCCCUCCCACCCCAGGCCAGAGAGUG